rnacentral:rRNA from 1 species
UACGUAGGGUCCGAGCGUUGUCCGGAAUUACUGGGCGUAAAGAGCUCGUAGGUGGUUUGUCGCGUUGUUCGUGAAAACUCACAGCUCAACUGUGGGCGUGCGGGCGAUACGGGCAGACUGGAGUACUGCAGGGGAGACUGGAAUUCCUGAUGUAGCGGUGGAAUGCGCAGAUAUCAGGAGGAACACCGGUGGCGAAGGCGGGUCUCUGGGCAGUAACUGACGCUGAGGAGCGAAAGCGUGGGGAGCGAACAGG